UACGUAGGGAGCGAGCGUUGUCCGGAUUUAUUGGGCGUAAAGAGCGCGUAGGCGGUUCGGUAAGUCGGGUGUGAAAACUCCAAGCUCAACUUGGAGCCUGCAUUCGAAACUGCUGUGACUAGAGUCAGGUAGGGGAACACGGAAUUCCAGGUGUAGCGGUGAAAUGCUUAGAUAUCUGGAGGAACACCAGUGGCGAAGGCGGUGUUCUGGGCCUGUACUGACGCUGAGGCGCGAAAGCGUGGGGAGCGAACAGG
rnacentral:rRNA from 1 species